CGGGACGGGUGAGUAACGCGUGGGUAACCUGCCUCAUACAGGGGGAUAACAGUUAGAAAUGGCUGCUAAUACCGCAUAAGACCACAGUACUGCAUGGUACAGUGGUAAAAACUCCGGUGGUAUGAGAUGGACCCGCGUCUGAUUAGGUAGUUGGUGAGGUAACGGCCCACCAAGCCGACGAUCAGUAGCCGACCUGAGAGGGUGAUCGGCCACAUUGGGACUGAGACACGGCCCAG
rnacentral:rRNA from 1 species